rnacentral:rRNA from 1 species
UAUCUGCGCUAACAGAAAGCAACUCCUGCCCUAUGGCAAUAAAUAGCCGCAGUUCUCUGUGCUAAGGUAGCAUAAUAACCUGCCUUUUAAUUCAAGGAUUGUAUGAAAGGACUCAUGACUUUCUUAUUUUUUCAUUUAUUUACAAUAAACUUAUCUUAUAAGUAAAAAAACUUAUAUAACAAAGAAGGACGACAAGACCCUAUAGAACUUCACAAACGUUAAACUGGGGUGGUUAAAAACAAAAUCUUAUCUACAUAUCUAUAUACAGACCUGAAAUCUUUCAAUAUUAAGAUCAAGUUACCUUAGGGAUAACAGAGUAAUCUCUUUUUAGAAACUUUCCAAAAAGAAGCUUUCUACCUCGAUGUUGAAUUAAUAUUACUUUAUAAAUAAAUAUUAUCAAAGUAGGUCUGUUCGACCUUUAAAAUAUUACAUGAUUUGAGUUCAGACCGGUGUAAGCCAGGUCAGAUUCUAUCCUCUUUAACUUAUGCUACAGUACGAAAGGACCUACCAAGAGAUAA